rnacentral:rRNA from 1 species
CGCCAGGGAACUACGAGCCAAGCUUAAAACCCAAAGGACUUGACGGUACCCCACAUCCCCCUAGAGGAGCCUGUCCUAUAAUCGAUAAUCCACGUUUAACCUCACCAUUUUUAGUUAGUCAGCCUGUAUACCUCCGUCGUCAGCUUACCACGUGAGCGCCAAUUAGUGAGCCCAAUGUUUAUUCACCAACACGUCAGGUCAAGGUGCAGCAAAUGAAGUGGAAAGAGAUGGGCUACACUUUCUAUUUUAGAAGAAACGAAAAACUAUCUAUGAAAUCUAGUUAGAAGGCGGAUUUAGCAGUAAAAAGGAAUCAGCACGUCCAUUUUAACCCGGCACUGGGGUGUGUACACACCGCCCGUCACCCU